rnacentral:misc_RNA from 1 species
GAUGAAGAACGUAGUGAAAUGCGAUACUUGGUGUGAAUUGCAGAAUCCCGUGAACCAUCGAGUCUUUGAACGCAAGUUGCGCCCGAAGCCAUUAGGCCGAGGACACGCCUGCCUGGGCGUCACACGUCGUUGCCCCCCCAUCUACUCCUUCGGGAUUGCGGGGGGCGGAUGAUGGCCUCCCGUGCGCCUCGUCGCGCGGUUGGCAUAAAUGCCAAGUCCUCGGCGACGCACGCCACGACAAUCGGUGGUUGCGAAACCUCGGUUGCCCGUCGUGUGCGGUCGUCGCGCAUCGAGGGCUCGAAAAAAUUGCCGGGCUCCGGCUCGGCUUUCAACGCGACCCCAGGUCAGGCGGGGUUACCCGCUGAAUUUAAGCAUAUCAAUAAGCGGAGGA